GACGCCGUGUUUACCAGCUGCCAAGCUAGUUCGCCACCUCAGCUUUGGCUCUGGGGCCGAGCCAGUCGCCUCCUUCUUUAAGAUUCCAGUCACAGCAGGGGCUGGGUUUCUAAGGCAGGCGUGAUCUUGCUCUGCCUACCAACGCAGCUGCCGCUGCCACUGUCGCUGCCGCCGCCUCUACCGCUGCCGCUCCCGUCGGUGCUGAGCAGAGCCUGAGGCACUGUGCUAAGGGGAGCCUGCGACAGGGUGCCAGGGCGGGCAGGCCACCCGCCCAGCCCGGUCCCCAAAAGGGCCCCUACAGUGACAUUUAAACUGAGAACUGAAGGAUGAAGAGUGGGCUCUGCAAAGAAUGGAAGAAGAGAUUUCAAUAAAGGGGAAGACUAAAUG